rnacentral:lncRNA from 1 species
CUUGUUCCCACACUGUUACCCCAUUUCUCCCAGCAUUCUACCAUCCACCUCACCCAGCACAGAGCUCCAUGCCCUUUCCAGAGCUCCCAGGCUCCUUAGCACAGACAGUGCCCUUGAUGUCUGCACAAGGCCAAGCCAGGCCUGCUGUGGAUCCCCAGAGUCUCCCAACCCUUCCCUGUGUCACAAUAAAAAGUGAUGGAACCAAGAGGGUUGAAAAGAACCAAGUCACAGUCUGGCCCCAAAUGCUUCAUUGUAUGCCCGUCACCAACAACAUUGCCGGUCCAACUCGGACACCCGCUGUGCAGGUGAGGCCCGUUGCCAGGGCUGGACGGAUUGCAAGGCCCAUGGGUGUUACCAGGGGGAUGCCUGUGGGUGCCAGCCUUCCACCUUGUGCCAAGUCUGGGUCGGCUGCCAAGACCUCUAUGGAGCUUGGUGUGCUGGUUGGGAAUGAGGGUCUAAGGGUCAAGGAGGAGUCUCCGAAACUCGUCCAGAGCCUUACGGCCAAAGCCUGUGUGAAAGAUGAGGAGGAGGUGGAGGAUAGGCUAUACAUGAUUAAGCUGGAGGAGCAGAGGAAGAAGCGUGAGGAGGUGCUGAGGCAGAAGGAGCUGGGGCGACAACAGCAAGCCAUGGAGAGGAAAAGGGCCAUGAGGGAACGGAACAAUCAGCAGCAUGACAAAGAAUGGGGACAUGGGCAUCCCCACCAAGGGUGGAACCCUCCCCUGCCACACCCUUAUAGUGAGCCAUUCCAACGAGCGCAACUGGGCCAACAGCAAGGCCAGAAUAUCUUCCAGUACAGCAACUCGCACAACCCACAUUCUGUUCAACACAGGUUGCAAAGCGGAUCCCAGAAGAUGCCUCAAGCUGGACAGCAGGUCCUGAACUUCCCACCACAUGGUCUGAGCAAUACCCGUCAAUACCACAAUCAAUGGAGUUCCCCAGGCCAACACCAGAUACAGAUAUGUGGAUCUCGGACAGCAUACCAAACCAACACACACUCUCACCAUCAUGCCCAGUAUAAACCCCAACCUGGCCCAGUGAAGUCUGCAGCCAACCCACAGGCCACACAUGUUCCAGAGGGCUACAUCAAGUCUGAGAAGACUGAAUCCCAGGUUGUCAAAUGUCCGUGUUUAGGCCUCCACAGCGGGUCUGAAAUGCCUCCGAGUUUCCUUCAGACUGUGAUGUCUGAAUCUGACCAGAUGCUGGACCAGCAGGGGGACAAGAAAGAAAUAAAUGGUGCCAUGCAGCCCAAUGAUUCCAAGAGAAAAAGGACUGGGCUGCAUCAAGGGCAUUUAAUGGAAGAAAAUCCAGUUGUACCAUCAAAGGUCAGGAUGGUCAGACAGGUUCCUGCGGGGGUCUUUGUUCAGGGGCGCGGCGGCCAGGGCCAGAUGGGCAGUGGCCACCCAGUGCCAGGCCAGCAGGGCCGGCCGGAGCAAUGUGGAGAGGCGGUGGGGGACCAGCGCACCUUCUACGUGUCAGUUGAAGGGCUUUCAGCUUCGGCUGCUGAGCUCCCCGAGAGGAAUCAGCCUGUUCAGAAUACAGCAGAUGAAAUGAGUGCUCAGUCAGGACUGAAGAAGAGAAGUUGUCACCUCAUAGUGAAGGUUGAUUACUGACUGCCCAGACCGACAGAGACGAAGAGACUUGCAGGG